rnacentral:rRNA from 1 species
UCAGCCGCCGCGGUAAAACCAGCACCUCGAGUGGUCAGGAGGUUUAUUGGGCCUAAAGCAUCCGUAGCCGGUUGUUUAAGUUUUCGGUUAAAUCUAUGCGCUUAACGUAUAGGCUGCCGAAAAUACUGGACAGCUAGGGAGUGGGAGAGGUACACGGUACUCAAUAGGAAGGGAUAAAAUCCUUUGAUCUGUUGAUGACCACCUGUGGCGAAGGCGGUGUACCAGAACACGUUCGACGGUGAGGGAUGAAAGCUGGGGGAGCAAACCGGAUUAGAUACCCGGGUAGUCCCAGCUGUAAACGAUGCAAACUCGGUGAUGCAUUGGCUUGUGGCCAACGCAGUGCCGCAGGGAAGCCGUUAAGUUUGCCGCCUGGGAAGUACGUACGCAAGUAUGAAACUUAAAGGAAUUGGCGGGGGAGCACA